rnacentral:rRNA from 1 species
UAUGUGUGGCAGGGAUAAACGCUGAAAGCAUCUAAGCGUGAAGCCCCCCUCAAGAUGAGAUUUCCCAUUUCUUCGGAAAGUAAGAUCCCUGAAAGAUGAUCAGGUAGAUAGGUUUGGAGUGGAAGUGUAGCGAUACAUGGAGCGGACAAAUACUAAUCGAUCGAGGACUUAACCAAAA